rnacentral:tRNA from 1 species
UCCUCGGUGGUACAAAUGGUUAAUGUGCUCAGCUGCUAACUGAAAGAUUGGAAGUUUGAAUCCUCUCAGAUGAA